UUGCUGACGUACUUAUUUGUCGUUCUCGAAACCCUUUUUCUCGUCGUAGAAGCGUCCCCUUCGUCUCCCAACCUCCGAUACCCCUGCGGCUGGAAUCGGACCUCCCCUCCCUCCAGAUUCGCUGCCGUCUGACUGCUUCCCGUUAGAAUCGCGGCCGUCAACUCAGAUGCGCCCUGAUUAGGGCUAAGCCGGCAGACUAGUACACGAGGCUCGGCCUCAUUAGGAAGUCGAGGAGGUCAACAGCGCCCGCGCCCGAAGACGCACAUGUUGUCAAGCUUAAGGAAACUUUAAAGAGGUGAAGUAAUCGAGUUAGAAGCAAGAUCCAGAAGCCAAAUCGGCCAAUAUCAGAACGUAGCAUCGUAGAUCUAUUCCUUUUAUGACUGGUGGUACGUCCCCUUCUACCGCAGUACUGAAUUAAUUGUUCGACUUUAGAUGAAUCACUUGUCUCUUUAGACAAGUAAAUCCUGUGAGAUCUGGCAUUGUAUGUAGCAGAGGAACGAUGAAUAGGCUCAUGGUUAUGGAAUCUCUGCUCUCUACAGUUCUGUGAAACAGUGAGAAGGCCAACACUUCAGCUACUGUGCUGAGUUGCUUACGAUCAUUUCUCUAUCAUUAAGUAAAUACGUUUGACCAAUGCAGAAUCUAAGGAGGACAAUGCACACCGAUCUACCCCUAUAAAUGGAGAUACUAUUUUCAUGACUUCAAUCUUGGUCGCUCAGACUUACUCUCUCAGCGUUGCUAAGAACCUAGAUGUUUGUGUUAGCCUCAGCCAAGGUUGCUCACAUUUUAAUGGAGGAGACUGUUCUUAGUCUAAACUUCACAGCGACCUUUUGUAUCCCUUCAUCUAGUAACCUAUUUUGCUAACUGCCCAAAAGUGAAGUUACAUGAUCAUGACGAAAUUAUCAUUAAUGUGUCCUAUCAGCAAAAUGAAAGACAUUCUAGGGAUUAUAGAUUUGAGGGUUCUAAUAGUCUGCUACAUAUUUUGUUUGAGUUAAUAUACUGUUUUCUUUUAUGACCUAUGCUGUUGUCACAUGUUUAUCCUGUUUGAUCUCUUGGACGACUUAUUUCUCGUGGUGCUGUUGCUUGAUGUUACUUGACAUGGCUAAAAGUAGUUCACCAUGAUUUAUCGUCAUGCGGAUUGGGUCUACCUAUUGUCGCACGCUUAUGCAUGUGAAGGUACGGAGUUGUCUGGCCUUUCAUCCAGUUAGUCCCCAUCUAUGUCAAUCAUUAUCCAAAUAAACCUUUUUUUCCUUUUUUUUUUCGGGUUUUUGUGUUUUUGUGUGUGGCUACUGAGCUUGGAGUCGGUAGAUUACCAAGUCAAAAUUGCGUAAAUUAAAUGGAUAUAUGUA